AGUCGAGCGGUAACAGAUCUAGCUUGCUAGAUGCUGACGAGCGGCGGACGGGUGAGUAAUGCAUAGGAAUCUGCCCGGUAGUGGGGGAUAACCUGGGGAAACCCAGGCUAAUACCGCAUACGUCCUACGGGAGAAAGGGGGCUUCGGCUCCCGCUAUUGGAUGAGCCUAUGUCGGAUUAGCUAGUUGGUGAGGUAAAGGCUCACCAAGGCAACGAUCCGUAGCUGGUCUGAGAGGAUGAUCAGCCACAUCGGGACUGAGACACGGCCCGAACUCCUACGGGAGGCAGCAGUGGGGAAUAUUGGACAAUGGGGGCAACCCUGAUCCAGCCAUGCCGCGUGUGUGAAGAAGGCCCUCGGGUUGUAAAGCACUUUCAGCGAGGAAGAACGCCUAGCGGUUAAUACCCGUUAGGAAAGACAUCACUCGCAGAAGAAGCACCGGCUAACUCCGUGCCAGCAGCCGCGGUAAUACGGAGGGUGCAAGCGUUAAUCGGAAUUACUGGGCGUAAAGCGCGCGUAGGUGGCUUGAUAAGCCGGUUGUGAAAGCCCCGGGCUCAACCUGGGAACGGCAUCCGGAACUGUCAGGCUAGAGUGCAGGAGAGGAAGGUAGAAUUCCCGGUGUAGCGGUGAAAUGCGUAGAGAUCGGGAGGAAUACCAGUGGCGAAGGCGGCCUUCUGGACUGACACUGACACUGAGGUGCGAAAGCGUGGGUAGCAAACAGGA
rnacentral:rRNA from 1 species